rnacentral:rRNA from 1 species
GUGUCAGCCGCCGCGGUAAGACGAACCGUGCGAACGUUGUUCGGAUUCACUGGGCUUAAAGGGCGCGUAGGCGGACGAUCAAGUCCGGGGUGAAAUCCUUCGGCUUAACCGAGGAACUGCCUUGGAUACUGGUUGUCUCGAGGGAGGUAGGGGCAUGUGGAACUUCCGGUGGAGCGGUGAAAUGUGUUGAUAUCGGAAGGAACGCCGGUGGCGAAAGCGACGUGCUGGACCUCUUCUGACGCUGAGGCGCGAAAGCUAGGGUAGCGAACGGGAUUAGAUACCCCGGUAGUCCUAGCCCUAAACGAUGGGUACUAGGUUGUGGACUUGACAUGGGUUCACAGCCGAAGCAAAAGUGCUAAGUACCCCGCCUGGGGAGUAUGGUCGCAAGGCUGAA